CUACGACCAUAUCACGUUAAAAGCACCGGUUCUCGUACGAUUACCGAAGCUAAACAACGUUGAGCUGCUCGGUUAGUACUCGGAUGGGUAACUGCCUGGGAAUACCGGGUGUUGUAG
rnacentral:rRNA from 1 species